rfam:Agrilus planipennis Contig41505, whole genome shotgun sequence.
GAAUAUCUAUUUUGUCCCCUUCAAAGUAAUCCCCCAUGGCUGAAGAGGAUCUUAAUUGGUCUUAGAACGGCCUGAGGUUGAGGGGUUUUAGUCGGUAGUUCGGAGGACUUCUUCCUCGGGAAUCCGACACUACCCAGUCGUACGGACGGCUGGGUGUCUUUUGAAGAUUUCCCCUCUUCCACGAAA